AGUGAACGCUGGCGGUAGGCCUAACACAUGCAAGUCGAACGGCAGCACAGUAAGAGCUUGCUCUUACGGGUGGCGAGUGGCGGACGGGUGAGGAAUACAUCGGAAUCUACUUUUUCGUGGGGGAUAACGUAGGGAAACUUACGCUAAUACCGCAUACGACCUACGGGUGAAAGCAGGGGAUCUUCUGACCUUGCGCGAUUGAAUGAGCCGAUGUCGGAUUAGCUAGUUGGCGGGGUAAAGGCCCACCAAGGCGACGAUCCGUAGCUGGUCUGAGAGGAUGAUCAGCCACACUGGAACUGAGCCACGGUCCAGACUCCUACGGGAGGCAGCAGUGGGGAAUAUUGGACAAUGGGCGCAAGCAUGAUCCAGCCAUACCGCGUGGGUGAAGAAGGCCUUCGGGUUGUAAAGCCCUUUUGUUGGGAAAGAAAAGCAGCAGGUUAAUACCCCGCUGUUCUGACGGUACCCAAAGAAUAAGCACCGGCUAACUUCGUG
rnacentral:rRNA from 1 species